rnacentral:lncRNA from 1 species
CUGUUCUGGUUCUUCAGACACUCCCUUGCAUAAUGUUGGACGCUACCACAUAUGCAGUAAGUGUUGUUGAGGUGGUAGCAAGGUUGGUCCCCAUGAUCCUUGCCACAGUGCUGAUAAAUCCUACCGUGUCCUGUUGCUCAAACCUUAGGGAAAGCCUAAGUCAUCGACCUGAAUCUCUUGUUCUGUUGAACAUGUGCAGUAGGUGCUGUUCUGCAGUGUAGAGCCGAGGGCCUGAGGUUCCCUACUGCUGGAGAAAAAUUGUAAAGGU